AUAGCUCAGUGGUAGAGCAUUUGUCUAGAAUGCAUAAGACCCUGGGUUCAAUCCCCAGU
rnacentral:tRNA from 1 species